rnacentral:lncRNA from 1 species
GUGACUCUCGCCGGCGGGGAGGGGCGUGGACCCAAGAAGUCCCUGUGCGCUUGCGCAGAGACCGAACUACCGCUUUCCCCGUAACCAGGGAGACUGCAGUUUGCAGUGAUGUGGCUAAGAUACCCUUGUGCUAUUAAAGGCACAUUUACGUAUCUUUCAACGCAGUUUGUACCUUUGUUUAGGGUUCUAUUGAACUUUCUCUGUGCUCUUUAGAAAACCGUCGAAUAAAGGUAACCAUCUUUUUGGGUGCCUGGGCAUGGUCAUUGUCCCAGAGUUUUAACAGAAGUCUCUACUAAAGUAUCCUGAUUUGCAAGGGAGGUCAUGGACCAAGUACAAAGCGGCAAAAGGAUGGAAUUAAGGUACCUGACAUUGUUGAACCCAUGCCUGAUGCCACAUUAGCUCAGGACUACCUACAUGGACAUGGAUAUUUCCAGUGAAAGAAAGAAGAAAGCAUGCUUUUCUCUUGACUGUGCAGAAAAAAAAACUAUGUUUCUUUGAUUCUCCAUUUUACUAGAUGCCAUACCUUUGCAAUUACUUCAUGUGGAGUCUUGACCAAGAUUCAGGAAAUACUAGAACUUUCAGUCCCAGAAGGUUACUCUGGGCAUUACUAGUCCCCAUCAUUAUGAGUUGAGUUUUACUAGUUAAUUUCAGACGAAAAAUAUUUGUUUUUCCCCAAAUUCUGGGGUUACGUACUUUUACUACCUAUGAACUGACAACUGUAUCUUCAGUAAUUACAAUUUCCAACAAAAUGUUAUAGGAAUAAAGAAAAGAUGUUAGUUCAUUAUUCAGAGUUUAUGUUUAUUCCUUUAAUAAAAAGAAAUGGUCUGUAUUUCUUCUUUUCACAUUUAUUUCCUCAGUUCAAACCUGCUUUUCAGGUUAUCCUAUGACUUGAAGUUGACUAAUUUGUUCACCUUAAUUAGUUGUGUUGCAAUAUAUAUGUAAUUAGCUAUUUGCAUUGCAACC